UAUCCUGCCAACUAAUCUGCUCGUUUGAAUGUAUUUCUGUAGAAAUUUAGAAAAAGCUAGCAAUAAUGAUACCAUGUUAUGAGCCUCAAGGACAACUGAGGUCAUUAAAGUCCCUGAAAAUGGCUCUCAUC
ensembl:snoRNA